rnacentral:rRNA from 1 species
UACGGAGGGGACUAGCGUUGUUCGGAAUUACUGGGCGUAAAGCGCACGCAGGCGGAUUUGUAAGUCAGUGGUGAAAGCCCUUCGCUUAACGAAGGAACUGCCAUUGAUACUGCAAAUCUUGAGUACAUUUGAUGUGGGCGGAAUGUGUCAUGUAGCGGUGAAAUGCUUAGAUAUGACACAGAACACCGAUUGCGAAGGCAGCUCACAAAACUGUAACUGACGCUGAGGCACGAAAGCGUGGGUAUCAAACAGG